rnacentral:lncRNA from 1 species
CAGCAUUCACAAAAUAAUAAUAAUAAUAAUAAUAAUCUUAUAGCCCAUAUAGUUUAUAGAUUAUUACAAACCCUAAUAGUAGAGGUGUCCAGCAAUUAUUGAAGCCUUUUGCAGGACUUUCUUCUUUUAACUAUUUCUUAACAUACAUUGCAUAUUCAAAAAAGCAAAAGAACAAAGCAAUUCAAACACAAACAUAAUAUUAC